rnacentral:lncRNA from 1 species
AGGUACUAGGCGUGCCAUGUGCAGGCUCUUGCAGCCCAGCUGUUGCCCUGGCAGCUCCAUGACCACACCUCUGUGCCCAGACAUGGAUCAGAACUGGGAGAAAAAGAGAAGGUGGUACCUUCUAUCCCCUUCACCCUGGGUCUUUCAGGAUCUGCCCCAAGGAGCAGAAAACGGGUGCGCCCAGAGCAGCUUACUCAGGAGACGCUUGCUGAUACAGAGAUGAGACAGUGAUUCCUGUCCUCAAGGAGGUUACAUUCGCAUGGGGAGAGACACAUAGCAAAAGAGACCACCAAGGCAAGUCCGCCGAGAGAUGAUGAGAGCCCAGAGGGCAUAUCACUAAGAGAAGGCCAGGAAUGAUCUCACGGAGCAAAUGGCAAUUGGCUUGAGUUUUGAGGAAGUAGAAGUUUGGUCAACAGGCUCACCCUUGCUGAUGCUGAGUAAUCUGCAGGCUGCAAUCUGCCCGUGAAAGAACUCUUGCAACACAUUGUGUGAGGAUCCCAGGCUGCCCUGUCCUUCCCUGGGAAUCAGGUCAAGAGCCCUGCUGGCAGGUGUCCUAGAGCAUGAAUCAGGCCCCUGGCAAGGAGAAGGCGGGAGAUCUUGGCUGAGAUCAGGUAGGAAGGUUUAUUGGAUGAUGUGUCUGGUCAAUAGCCAAUCUAUUAACCCCCCCUGAGAGAAUUAGGAACCUUCAUAUGAUGGGUCAUCUCUUUGUGGGAGAAGUUUAGAUAACUGGAAACCACAUUUUGGUCAAGAAUGACUCAGUUAAUUUUUCCAUGCCUUUAGUGAGGAUUUAAUUUUGCACGGGUAAGUGACUUCAGAGUGGUUGGUGAAAGCUGGCUGGCUGUCAUUUUGUCUGGCAGUGCAGAGUGGCAAUUUAUCCCUUUAGGUGGCCCAAGAUUUGGGUGGCUGGACUUUCCAAGGCAAUUUAAUUUAAUUUAUUUGUUUAUGCUGAGCCUUGGGUUAAUGCUUUCAAAUGGUUUAUUUCAGAGAUCUGAUAACCUGCGGACUGACUUUCUCCUUCUAGACUUGUGUUGAUUUGAUUCAACAGACCCUCAUGACUCAUGAAGCACCUAUAUGUACCAGUCAUUGUGAUAAAUCUGGGGAUUAGACAGGGGCAAAACUCAGUCCUUGUUGAGUUAGCUCAUGGUGCAAUACUGGACUCAGACAUAAACAAACACACAGAAAUGAUAGGUUUGUGUGGCAUGCUGAAGGCCCAGGUAAGAAGGAAUUCAUUCUGUUGGAUAAGGCGGGGACUCAAGGAGGCUUCCUGGAGGAAGCGAAAUCCUAGAUGAGUCUGAAAGGGUAAAUAGGAAUGAAUGCUCUCCAACUCUGAUGGAGUUGAUGAUCUCAGGGUUGGCCUCUUUUCAUACUGGUUUUGAGUAUAAAUGAUUAAUUUGUUUGUAAUAAUUAAUAAAAAGAAGAAGAAUGCAUUCACAAGCAUCACAAGUGAAUCCAUCCCUGACUUCUUAGUAAUUUCCCCUUUUACACCCUGCUAAUAUGAUCCCUGUUUUUUGCCCUUUAUGAAGUGGUCCACAGUGUGAAAAAUUUGAAAGGCCCCAAAGAAUGAAUAGUUCUUCAGUAAACGAAUUGGAACAGCAUAUUGGGCAUGGAGUCAAGAUGUUGACCUAUGUAAUUCUUUUGACUUUUUUAUUUUAAAAUUACUAUGAUUCCUUCAGGGCAAGCACUGCUUUAAUAAUUCAUCUUUCUGUCUUCAAAAGUCAGCCCAGUGACUGUCCCUUAUUCCACAGAUGUGGAACCAAUUCAGGAUUGUCCUUGUGAUUCUUUUUCCUAAGUGGAAUACUGAGCCUCCAGCUUGUGUGUCAUAUGUGUGGACUUUUCAGCAUAUUCUUCUCUGGCCCAGAAGUCUGGAUUCUUCUUGUCUGUUGCAAUAAUAUAAAGUUAUUCAGAGCUGUACAUGAAGAGAAGUCCCACAGGGACCCUGGGAUCAGAAGAACUCUGGGAAAUGCCUGGCCCAGCCAGUGCUGUUCUAAAGAUCCUCAUCCUCAUGGAGAUAACCAUUUUUAAGGAAGAAAAGAGGAUCUGGACCCUACCCAUCUCAGUCUCCAUCAGAUCUUAUGGAUGCUCCAGGAAUUGGCCAUGAUUCUCCUCUUUUCUACCAUCUUGUAUGUUGGGCUUUGUAGAGGAUAGAUGUUUUCUAGAAGAAUGGCAGAUAAGGCAAGGUCUGCAGCUUGCCAUUGAUAGUGUCUUUAUCAACAGAUCUGUGAGGAAUUGUGCAGCUGAGAGGGGAGAAGAGAAAUCAGAGAGUGGAUGGACUGCCACAGUUCAACAUAUACUGGUGCUUUCAAUAUAGAAUCCACAAGGCAACCUGCAUGCUGGGCUCUGUGCUAGGCACUAGGGGUAUAUCUAUGAGAUGCCACCCCAGCUCCCACAGUCUUACAAUCUAAUGGGGAAGAGAGAUAUGUCAAUAGACAAACGCAGCAGAUGGCAAGUGCUGGGAUAUGAAACAGUAAGCAGAAGCCACAGUGUUCUCUGGGACUUCUGAGCUGAGUCCCAAAGUAAUUAGAUUAAUCCGUCAUGGGAGGUGGAGUGGGUAGGGGGAGCUCCUGGAAGCAUGAUCAAAAGUGGAGAGCUAAGGUGAGGGAGAAGAAAGAAAUGAGAUUCAGCAAAGAGGAGGAGAGCAAUGAAGGGCCAUGUAUGACCAGGCGAAGGCAAAUUGUUCGGACCAAACAUGACAGUAGGGUGGGUUUUUGAGGGGUAUCCACUGCACUUACAGAGGCAAGAUUCUCUAUGGUGACCUUUCAGUGAGGGUGGGCAAAUACACUACUUUUUGAGUCAGCCAUUUUUCACUACUGAGCACCUCUGGCCUUAGCAAGUUCUGAGCAUGAAUACUUUCUUCUGUUUCUAAGCCAUUCAACAAAUAUCAAAGUGCUUUCCCAUGUAUUGGUCAUCUUAGGCAAACUGGGUGGACAUGUAGAGCAAGACGUAAUGAGGUAAGCACUCACUAGAGCUAGGUCAUCUUAGAAAAGUCACUUAGCUUCACUGAGCCUCAGUCUUCCUAUCUGUGAAAUGGGGAUAAUGACCCUUAUGUCACCUGGUGGGCAAGGUCUAAAUAAAAUCAUUGUAGUUAGAUCCAUAGUAGGUUCUUUCUGACCUACCACUGUGCACCUCACGCCGUUGCUAUUCCAGUGGGAUAUAUCCAGUGGGGUUACGGGUAUGACAUUUCGGAACCCCACCAUCACUUGUAUCAGCAGGUCUGUCCUAGGUUCCCCAACUAAGCUUCCUGGAUGAGGCACCUAGUGGCGUCCCCUAGUUUGAGUGUGGGGGGUUUGGUAAACUAGUCCUUAUGUAUGCUUGUCAGAUGGAGGGUACUGUCUUUAAGAUGGGCUCAUAGCUGAAUCUGGAAGGUAAGUGCUCCAGGCCAGUAUUGUUUUCUGCAGGAUUCAAAGUUCCCUUGCUAUUUCUGCUGACUUUGCUUCCCCUCUCGUGUUCUAUAUCCCAAACCUAUUAUCUUCACCAGCGUUAAUUUGCCUCCACAACUCUGUUUUUGCAUUUUGAAAUGGAAUUUCCCUUAACCUAUAUUCCUCUGGUUCCCAAACUCCACCUGCUUCAGUUUUUUUUUCAAUAUCAUCUACAUUUCCUUCACUAGAUUAUAGCCUUAGUCAUUUGUACCCUUAGAAUGAAUAUUUUUUUCUGUCAUAUCUUUGUUUGAACCUUUUCACAUUUGACUUCAGACAUUACCCAUCUCCUUCAUCUGACCACUUUCUUCACUUUUCUCAUCUUUCCAUUUUGGUUGUAUGUCUACUGAGCAAGGGGCUCUGUGCAGAGCAUUCAAAGAUGACUGAGAUGUAGUCUUGUGGGUAGAGAGAGACAAUUAGAAUGCACCGUGGAGAGUGUUAGGUUGAGGGAAGCGGAGAUUACAGGAGUCCAAAUGUCUUAUCCGAGGAUAUGGGAUAGGCUUGAGAGAAGAUGCUGAGCUCAUGUAGGUGAGGUAUUGUCCUACGUGAAGGAAAAGAGGCAGGAGAUGGCAGCUUGGAGGCUAUAUUACUUUCUCUGGGGCUGCCAUACCAAAGUACCACAAACUGGGUGGCUUAAAACAUCAAAAAUGUAUUUUCUCACAGUUCUAGAAGGUAGAAGCCCAAAAUCAAGAUGUUGGCCCUACAGCUGUGCUCCUUCUGAAGGCUUUGGGGUGAAUGUGUUUAAUGCCCUUUUCUUAGCUUCUGCCCUUUUCUUUUCUGGCCUUCACAGAAGGCCAAAGAGCAAUCCUUGGCCUUCCUUGGCUUGUGGAUGCAUCGUUUCAGUCUCUGCCUCUGUUUUCACAUGGCCCUCUUCCCUGUGUAUCUGUCUCUACGCUGCUUCUCAUCUUAUAAGGACACAAGUCAGAUUGGAAUAAAGCCUAUUCUAAUUCAGUAUAAUCACAUCUUAACUUGAUUAUGUAUGCAAAGACCAUAUUUCCAAAUAAGGUCACAUUUUCAGGUCCUCGGGGUUAGAGCUUUCACAUGUCUUUUUGGGGGACAUAGUUCAACUCAUAAUAGAAACCUCGCAGAUAAAUCAUUUUGGCCGGUGCACAGAGUUAAGUGGUGGAUUAUCAAGAAUAUGGAAUUUUAGAAUUUUAGCUUCUUGGUUGAUUUUUGGGAAUUAACAUACAGGAGAGCAGGUUUAGAAGUAACAAUAACACUUUGAGAGGCCGAGGUGGGCAGAUCAUGAGGUCAGGAGAUCGAGACCAUCCUGGCUAACAUGGUGAAACCCCGUCUCCACUAAAAAUACAAAAAUUAGCCGGGCAUGGUGGCAGGUGCCUGUAGUCCCAGCUACUCAGAAGGCUGAGGCAGCAGAAUGGCAUGAACCCGGGAGGCGGAGGUUGCAGUGAGCCGAGAUCGUGCCACUGCACUCCAGCUGGGGAGACAGAGUGAGACUCUGUCUCAUAAAAAAAAGAAGUGACAAUAACAAUAACAGAGGCUGGUCUUCUGGGAAUGAUGCGAUACUCUUCAGCCAGCCUUUCUGUUUUGAGCGAAGCCCCAACCUGGAGUUCAAAGAGAGUGAGGGCGCUUCCUGUCUUCUUGUCUUUCUCCUCUCUCCUGCUACUUGUUAUGAAAUUCAGAACAAUUAGAGAUUUUCUGUCUCAUCCCUGGAAUGGUGUUUCUCCUGCUGGCCCUAUCAGGCUGGUGUGUUGAUGUUAUCGGGGAGAGGCUGUAGUUACUAGGAUGAAGAAGGCAAGAGAGAAAUGGAAUUCACGCAGAUCAAACAUGUGUAAUCAGAAGACAUUACUGAGGCUUGAUGAUGCUGUUCAGGGUGUAUUUCCCUUGAAACGCUUCUUAAAAGACAGCAGCUUAAACAAAUGGGCAAGAUGAGAUUCACAGAGGUAACAUUUCAGAGAGAAUGUAGGUACAGCUAAGCAGAGCUAAGCAGUGACAGAAGGAGAAAGUGUGUCUGAAGAAAAAUCUUCAUUACAGAUUUGAAAGAAAAAAAACCCAUCAAAUCCCUCUGCCUUGUGGGUCUCACAGGAGGCAAACUUUCUUUACAAACUGUGUGUUUGUGUUUUGAGUGACUAAGAGUUCAGGGACAAGUUCAAACACACCUAAGUUCAAUUUAAAAGUAAAUGAGAUGACAUUGGAGGAAAUUUAUAAUAAAAUGUCACUCUUUACCUAACACCAUUUUCUCUGGAAUUCAAAAUAUCCAUUGUUUAAAAGUGACACAGUAACUACCAUCUAGUUUGCUGAAUGACCUUCUUUAUAGCGUCAUGGUAUUAGAAAUGGCUUCAGAAGGAAUCACUCAACUGCAUUUAUCUGGCAGGAGAAAAAUGCAGGUAGUAUUUAUUUUGGGGUGUGGUAGGGGAUGUCCCCUAGCAAGGAUCCUAGAAGUCAGUGUCAGGUAUGAGAACAAGAAACAUUCAUUUAUUGCAUGCAUACUCAUUGAGUCCCUACUAUGUAUUGGUAUUAUGUGGCAGUAUGAAUAUUCUCAUUUGUUAAAUAAAGAUACUUGAGUCUGCUUUCAGUGUUGUGGGUUUUGUUAUUAAGAGUAAUACAGUCAUGUGUUGCUUGAUCAUGGGGACUUGUUCUGAGAAAUGUGUUGUCAAGCAAUUCUGUCUUUGUGGGAACCUCGUAGAGAGUAGGGUACUUACAAAAACCUAGAUGGGAUAGCUUAAUACGCACCUAGGCUGUAGGGUAAAGCCCAUUGCUCCCAGGCUACAAACCUGUAGAGCAUGUUACUGACUGAAUACUGUAGGCAGUUGUAACAAAUCACUAGGCAACAGAAACUUUGCAGCUCUGUUAUUAUCUUAUGGCACCACUGUUGUGUAUGCAGUCUGUUGACCAAAACAUCAUGUGGUUCAUGAUCGUACUUAUAGUACUAAGUGCCAGGCAUUGAACUGUGCCAAGUGUCAGGGCUGAAUGAGCUCAUUCAAUUUUUCUAAUAAGUCUAUGAGGUAGUUACUGAUAUCGCCCCUGCUUUACAGAUGAGGAAACUGAGGCACAGAGAUAAGGAAUUUGGAUAAAUUUUUAUAACAGGUAGGAGAUAAGUGAUGAAGAGACACUGAAUGAUUGAAAACUCACUUGGUUUGAUUUGCUUAUGUGAAAAAUGGAUUUAAGGAAGGCAGCGGAUGCAAGCACGGAGGCAGGGAAACUGGUUGAUGUGUGGAUUGAGUGAGUUAAUGUGUGUCAAAUGCCUAGAAUGGUCACUACACAAGUAUUUGCUAUUGUUCUUAUUUUUGUUGUAAUCAGUCAGAAUGGUCUAAGUCAGUGGUCAGCAAACUUUUUUUAUGCAGAGCCAGAUAGAAAAUAAUUUAGGCUUUUUAUGCUCUUAGGUCUCUCUUGCAAUUACUCAAUUCUGCCCUUGUAGCAUGCAGGCAACCAUAGUCAAUGUGUAAAUAGGAACGAGCAUGGCUGCAUUCCAUUGCAUGUAGUUUAUAAAACUAUAGCCCACAGACUAUACUUUGCCAAUUCUUGGUCUAGACUAUGCUGUAGUUAUAAUUCCCAAACCCUAUUGGUU